GUGAGUCAUCGAAUCUUUGAACGCAUAUUGCGCUCUUUGGUAUUCCGAAGAGCAUGCUUGUUUGAGUAUCAGUAAACACCUCAAAGCUUUUGAUUUUUUUUGAAAGCUUUGGACUUGAGCAAUCCCAACACCAGUCUUUUUUAGAUCGGAGGCGGGUUGCUUGAAAUGCAGGUGCAGCUGGACAUUCUCCUGAGCUAAAAGCAUAUUCAUUUAGUCCCGUCAAACGGAUUAUUACUUUUGCUGCAGCUAACAUAAAGGGAGUUUGACCGUAUUGGCUGACUGAUGCAGGAUUUCACAGGG
rnacentral:misc_RNA from 1 species